AACGAACGCUGGCGGCAUGCCUAACACAUGCAAGUCGAACGAGACCUUCGGGUCUAGUGGCGCACGGGUGCGUAACGCGUGGGAACCUGCCCUUAGGUUCGGAAUAACUCCCCGAAAGGGGUGCUAAUACCGGAUAAUGUCUUCGGACCAAAGAUUUAUCGCCUUUGGAUGGGCCCGCGUUGGAUUAGCUAGUUGGUAGGGUAAAAGCCUACCAAGGCGACGAUCCAUAGCUGGUCUGAGAGGAUGAUCAGCCACACUGGGACUGAGACACGGCCCAGACUCCUACGGGAGGCAGCAGUGGGGGAUAUUGGACAAUGGGCGAAAGCCUGAUCCAGCAAUGCCGCGUGAGUGAUGAAGGCCUUAGGGUUGUAAAGCUCUUUUAACCGGGAUGAUAAUGACAGUACCGGGAGAAUAAGCUCCGGCUAACUCCGUG
rnacentral:rRNA from 1 species